GUGCUCACUUCAGCAGCACAUACACUAAAUUGGAACGAUAGAGAAGAUUAGCACGGCCCCUGUGCAAGGAUAACACACAAAUUCAUGAAGCGUUCCAUUUCUUU